CGGGGUGCAGCAGGCGCGAAAACUUUGCAAUGCGGGAAACCGUGACAAGGGAACUCUGAGUGCCCGUUAAAUCGGGCUGUCCAUCGGUUUAAAUAACCGGUGAAGAAAGGGCCGGGCAAGACCGGUGCCAGCCGCCGCGGUAAUACCGGCGGCUCGAGUGGUGGCCACUAUUACUGGGCUUAAAGCGUUCGUAGCUGGUUUGUUAAGUCUCUGGGGAAAUCUUCCGGCUUAACCGGAAGGCGUCUCAGGGAUACUGGCAGACUAGGGACCGGGAGAGGUGAGAGGUACACCAGGGGUAGGAGUGAAAUCCUGUAAUCCUUGGGGGACCACCUGUGGCGAAGGCGUCUCACCAGAACGGCUCCGACAGUGAGGGACGAAAGCUGGGGGAGCAAACCGGAUUAGAUACCCGGGUAGUCCCAGCUGUAAACGAUGCGCGUUAGGUGUAUCGGUGACCACGAGUCACCGAGGUGCCGAAGAGAAAUCGUGAAACGUGCCGCCUGGGAAGUACGGUCGCAAGGCUGAAACUUAAAGGAAUUGGCGGGGGAGCAC
rnacentral:rRNA from 1 species